GCAGAUUUAAGGAACGUAUUCAGAAAGAAAUGUAGUUAAGCCUGUUUUUAAGCCUGUUUUUGGACAUUUAGAGUGCAUGAUCACUACCCAAAACAGAAAUGGAGCACUGGCCUUAAGUGGAAUAUGGAGGUGGAGGAAUUUGUUUUCCAGGCUCUCCAGCAUUUCUUUCUUCAUCCUCUUCUGAACAGUCGCUGAUCUUGCUCCCCUUCUCCCCUGCUACUUGGGAUAAGGAAGCAGCUGACAAAUCCAUUAAGUCGUGAGAAUUUUCUAUUACUCCUCCCAGCAGGAUAUCAGGAAGAGAAGACUCAAAUGUUGAAAUUUCAGAUGUGGGCGAGGAAGUGACAUUUAUUGCUGUACACAGAAGAAAAUGAGCCAAGAAGUGCUGCAGGAGUUCAGAGGCAAGAGAGGAAUGUGGCCUGACAUGCACAGAUUUCAAGAAGGAGGUAAGGCUGAAGAUGGCCCUUUAGGCUGGCUGAAAUGAAAUGACUCCCAGGGAAACUUGGAACCAUGUGUUGAAGGUGGUAGCACUUCCAUCAGCCUGGGUCCUGAAUGCUUGCAGGAGGAUAUGCUGUGGAUCCAUGUACCUGCCGA